UAGAUAGCAAGACUUGGGGUAUAAGUUAACGUGUUAUGAGAUAAGUAUGGAAUAGAUAUAGGAUUAGACAAGAUCUCGUGUGUUGAGAUUCUCUUGUUACGUUUCGAGUAUAUAUGUAAAGCUUACGAUCUGAGUAAUACAACACACAUUCUCAACAUAUUCUUCCUCAGUUUACAUGGUAUCAGAGCCAUACUAGGAGAUCCAUUGGAAGAAAACGUUGAGAGAAAUAAAUCAUGUCAAAAGAAGUAAUCAAAGUCGAAAGUGGUGGUAGCAGUAACGAUCGCAUGUCUCCAUACUUUCUCUCGCACUCUGAUAAUCCAGGUGUGUCCAUCUCUCCAGUCUUC
rnacentral:lncRNA from 1 species